rnacentral:rRNA from 1 species
UACGUAGGGCGCAAGCGUUGUCCGGAAUUAUUGGGCGUAAAGAGCUCGUAGGCGGCCUGUUGCGUCCGCUGUGAAAUCCCGGGGCUCAACCCCGGGCCUGCAGUGGGUACGGGCAGACUAGAGUGCGGUAGGGGAGAUUGGAAUUCCUGGUGUAGCGGUGGAAUGCGCAGAUAUCAGGAGGAACACCAAUGGCGAAGGCAGAUCUCUGGGCCGUAACUGACGCUGAGGAGCGAAAGCGUGGGGAGCGAACAGG